AGAGUUUGAUCCUGGCUCAGAACGAACGCUGGCGGCGUGCUUAACACAUGCAAGUCGAACGUGAUUGAGAGCUUGCUCUCAUGAAAGUGGCGCACGGGUGAGUAACACGUGGAUAAUCUGCCUGGCGAUUCGGGAUAACACUUCGAAAGGGGUGCUAAUACCGGAUACGUUGGUCAAUAUGCAAGAUACGUUGGGUAAUCAGGAAAGGUGGCCUCUGAAUAUGCUACUGUACAGGGACGAGUCCGCGGCCCAUUAGCUAGUUGGCAGGGUAAUGGCCUACCAAGGCAACGAUGGGUAGCUGGUCUGAGAGGAUGAUCACCCACACUGGUACUGGGACACGGACCAGACUCCUACGGGAGGCAGCAGUGGGGAAUAUUGCGCAAUGGGGGAAACCCUGACGCAGCGACGCCGCGUGGAUGAUGAAGGCCUUCGGGUCGUAAAAUCCUGUCUUAAGGGACGAUUAUCAACUGGCUAAUAUCCAAUAUAUCUGUCGGUACCACUGAAGGAAGCAUCGGCUAACUCCGUGCCAGCAGCCGCGGUAAUACGGAGGGUGCAAGCGUUGUUCGGAAUUAUUGGGCGUAAAGGGUGCGUAGGCGGAUGGAAAAGUCAGAUGUGAAAGCCCUGGGCUCAACCUGGGAAGUGCAUUGGAUACUGGCAAACUUGAGUACGGGAGAGGAUAGUGGAAUUUCGAGUGUAGGAGUGAAAUCCGUAGAUAUUAGGAGGAACACCGGUGGCGAAGGCGGCUACCUGGACCGAUAUUGACGCUGAGACGCGAAAGCGUGGGGAGCAAACAGGAUUAGAUACCCUGGUAGUCCACGCCGUAAACGAUGAGAACUAGGUGUUGCGGGUAUUGACCCCUGCAGUAACGCAGCUAACGCAUUAAGUACCCCGCCUGGGGAGUACGGUCGCAAGACUAAAACUCAAAGGAAUUGACGGGGGCCCGCACAAGCGGUGGAGCAUGUGGUUUAAUUCGACGCAACGCGAAGAACCUUACCUGGGCUUGACAUCCCGGGAAUCUCCAGGAAACUCGAGAGUGCCUCGCAAGAGGAGCCUGGUGACAGGUGCUGCAUGGCUGUCGUCAGCUCGUGUCGUGAGAUGUUGGGUUAAGUCCCGCAACGAGCGCAACCCUUAUCUUUAGUUGCCAUCAUUAAGUUGGGCACUCUAAAGAGACUGCCGGUGUCAAACCGGAGGAAGGUGGGGAUGACGUCAAGUCCUCAUGGCCCUUAUGUCCAGGGCUACACACGUAUUACAAUGGCCGGUACAAAGGGAUGCUAUCCCGCGAGGGUGAGCUAAUCCCAAAAAGCCGUUCUCAGUUCGGAUCGGAGUCUGCAACUCGACUCCGUGAAGUUGGAAUCGCUAGUAAUCGUGGAUCGGCACGCCACGGUGAAUACGUUCCCGGGCCUUGUACACACCGCCCGUCAAGCCACGAAAGUUGGCUGUACCAGAAGUUGCCGGGCUAACCCGCAAGGGGGGCAGGUACCUAAGGUACGGUUGAUGAUUGGGGUGAAGUCGUAACAAGGUAACC
rnacentral:rRNA from 1 species